rnacentral:rRNA from 1 species
CAACAACUAAGGCAUCGAGCGCACGGUACCACGCGAGGGCGCACCGCACCACACGAGCGAAAUCCACAGCGAGCGAGCGAGGCCACAGCGAUCGAGCCAGAGGAAAAAAGGCAUCGAACCCUAGCCCCAAUCCACAGCCCCGCGCCUCUCGCUCCUCCCUCCCUCGUCCGCCGCCACUCCCUCCCACCUCCUCCUCCUGCGCCCUAGGAGCCCCGCCGGCGACUGCUACUCCUCCACCGCCUCGCCUCUUCCUCCUCCUCGCCUUCCCAUCGCUCGUCUUCAGGCCGCAGCGGUGGUUCCCGAUCUGAGCCGUCUUCAGGUGCGUGGAGCGACGGAGGUCGGCUCCCUCCUCCACGGUCGCGCGGCGGGAGAGGAGUCAGCCCCGGUGCUCUGCCUCUCCAUCCGUCUCCGCAAGCUAUCGUCCGAUGCCGUCAUUGCCCGCCAUCAUCUUCAUCUUGCUCGCUGCCUGCUUGCUAGAGAGCCAUGGCUUUCCUCGCUGUAGGUUCUGGCGUUCUGCCAUGGCUUUUCUUGUCCCGUCCCACUCGCCUCCCCCUCCUCGUCACCCUCCUCUCUCUCUCUCUCUCUUUCUCGCUCACUGCCAAGAAGCCGCCGGAGGAGGAACUCGACCUGGACGACCGCCGCUGGACGAAGAGCCCCGAAAAAAUCCCCCAACCACCCCUGCGCCACCGCCUCUUCACCUUCGACCACGGGUUGCAACGUACGGUCAGAGGACCAAGUUGGAGCAUACUAGGCAAAUGGGCCUUGCCGUGAGUCGUGGUGCAACAGUGACCUCGAUGGGCAGGGCAAUGGUCAGAUACGAGUCAGCACCGAAGAUGACUGUAAGCACUCAAAAAAGUUUACCACGCUAGAGCUAUGUCAGGUUGUAUGAGGGCAGUUAAUGAAUAUACUUGUGACACUUAAACUCUCAGGCAAGCUUGCUCUCAGCAAUGCCAACAAACAUGGUUUAUGAUGAUAUUGGUGGUCUGAAGCUUUAGAUCGUCGGGGCUGCUCUCAUUUGUUCAAUUUGCCAGUGAUCCUUCCAUUCUACUGCUGCUCAUUAUUAUCACAUGAAGGAGGUGUUCUUCCGUUACAAUACUCCUGACGUGUUCCAUGAAAUGUCUAUGAGCUGGAACAUGUAUAUCCUUUCAAGUUCACUGAUGCGGUUACCACUACAACACACGUCCCUCCAAGGACCAAGGGUGGGCAUGAUCUUCUACAAGUUUUCGGUGAUGUACGUCGUGAAGCGGGACGGGCGGACGGAGACGGUGCACUUUGACAAGAUCACGGUGCGGCUCAAGAAGCUCAGCAAUGGGCUCAGCCAGGAGCACCGCAACCCCGUGCUCGGUCUGCGUCAGGGUAUACAUGGGCGUCACCACCAGCCAGCUCACCACCGAGACCGCCGCCGCGCUCACCGCCUCCCAGCCUGACUAUGCCUCCCUCGCGGCGAGGAUUGUUGUGUCCAACCUGCCGCCAAGUGGAAAUAGUUUGUGUGGCGCUCGUAAAUAGAGAGCAUUCUGGUAGAAAGCUGAAAGAUUAGCGAGACUGGCUAAAUUCUGAACAUGUUCCAUGUGAGAGAAAUAGCAUGUUGAUUUCAUCUUGAAAUAAUCAUAGCUGAGGGACGAGCUUCGUAACUAAGGGUCAUGUGUAGAGCUGAAGGAAGAAGUUGCGAGGCUUGGAACUCUCCUUGUGAAGGGCUCAGGGACAGCAGUGAGGACAAUGCCUCUUUAGUUGUAAUUGUGAUACUCCUGAUCUGCAAGUAAACACUCCUGUGAUACUAAAUGUUGGUUGUUAGUACAGAGGUGAUGCCAUUAGUUGGUUCUUUGGUACUCCCUCUGUCCGGAAAAGCUUGUCGCUCGAAUGGAUGUAUCUAGCACCAAGUUAGUGCUAGAUAUAUCCAUUUGAGAAACAAGCUUGGGACAAGCUUUUUCGGACAGAGGGAGUAUUGAUUUCAUGAUUUGUGGUUAAUACAUGAUGUAAUACAAUCUACACUGCAUUAUAUUUCCUUACUCACUACUAAC